UGAUAUAAGUGUCAAAGGUCAAAAUGCAUUUAUGCUUGCAUAAGAAGCAUUUUGACUUUAUGACACGCCGAACCAUGAGAAAGUAGCAUUUUACGCAGUAAAAUAGCGGAUUUCGAAUGGUUCUAGGAUUGCGAAAAUUGCGAUAGCAAUGUAGCAAUCCGUAUAUCA
rnacentral:sRNA from 1 species